GAACCGUACGAACGUUAUUCGGAAUCACUGGGCGUUAAAGGGUGCGUAGGCGGCCUGGGUAAGUUGGGGUGUGAAAGCCCUCGGGCUCAACCGAGGAAUUACGCCCAAUACUGUCAGGCUCGAGGGAGACAGAGGUGAGCGGAACUGAUGGUGGAGCGGUGAAAUGCGUUGAUAUUAUCAGGAACACCGGUUGCGAAGGCGGCUCACUGGGUCUCUUCUGACGCUGAGGCACGAAAGCUAGGGUAGCGAACGGGAUUAGAUACCCCGGUAGUCCUAGCUGUAAACGAUGAGCACUAGGUCGGAGGCCCUUCCACAGGCUUCCGGUCGUAGCGAAAGUGUUAAGUGCUCCGCCUGGGGAGUAUGGUCGCAAGGCUG
rnacentral:rRNA from 1 species